GAGUUUGAUCCUGGCUCAGGACGAACGCUGGCGGCGUGCUUAACACAUGCAAGUCGAACGGUCCAGCACUCAACUUAGUGCUCAUAAGAUAUAGAGUUUUAAUUAGAGGAAGCGAUAUAUCUGGUGAGUAGCAAGUUGAGUGCUGGAUAGUGGCGGACGGGUGAGUAACGCGUGGAUAACCUGCCUAUAUGACCGGGACAACACCGGGAAACUGGUGCUAAUACCGGAUACGCUCGCGGAGGCACAUGCUUUUGUGAGGAAAGGAGCAAUCCGCAUAUAGAUGGGUCCGCGUCCCAUUAGCUAGUUGGCGGUGUAAAAGACCACCAAGGCGACGAUGGGUAGCCGGCCUGAGAGGGUGGACGGCCACACUGGAACUGAGACACGGUCCAGACUCCUACGGGAGGCAGCAGUGGGGAAUCUUCCGCAAUGGGCGCAAGCCUGACGGAGCAACGCCGCGUGAGUGAAGAAGGCUUUCGGGUUGUAAAACUCUGUCUUCAGGGAAGAAGAAAGUGACGGUACCUGAGGAGGAAGCCCCGGCUAACUACGUGCCAGCAGCCGCGGUAAAACGUAGGGGGCGAGCGUUGUCCGGAAUUACUGGGCGUAAAGGGCGCGUAGGCGGUUUCUUAAGUCAGAGGUGAAAACUACCGGCUUAACCGGUAGCCUGCCUUUGAAACUGGGGAACUUGAGGGCAGGAGAGGGGAGUGGAAUUCCCAGUGUAGCGGUGAAAUGCGUAGAUAUUGGGAGGAACACCAGUGGCGAAGGCGGCUCUCUGGCCUGUUUCUGACGCUGAGGCGCGAAAGCGUGGGGAGCAAACGGGAUUAGAUACCCCGGUAGUCCACGCCGUAAACGAUGGGUGCUAGGUGUAGGAGGUAUCGACCCCUUCUGUGCCGUAGUUAACACAAUAAGCACCCCGCCUGGGGAGUACGGCCGCAAGGUUGAAACUCAAAGGAAUUGACGGGGGCCCGCACAAGCGGUGGAGCAUGUGGUUAAUUCGACGCAACGCGAAGAACCUUACCAGGGCUUGACAUCCCCUGACAGUCAUUGAAAGAUGGUUUUCCAGCUUCGGUUGGACAGGGAGACAGGUGGUGCAUGGUUGUCGUCAGCUCGUGUCGUGAGAUGUUGGGUUAAGUCCCGCAACGAGCGCAACCCUUACGUUUAGUUGCUAACGUGUAAAGAUGAGCACUCUAGACGAACUGCCGUUGACAAAACGGAGGAAGGUGGGGAUGACGUCAAAUCAUCAUGCCCCUUAUGUCCUGGGCUACACACGUGCUACAAUGGCCGGUACAAAGGGAAGCGAAGCCGCGAGGCGGAGCAAAUCCGAUAAAAGCCGGUCUCAGUUCGGAUUGCAGGCUGCAAUUCGCCUGCAUGAAGUCGGAAUCGCUAGUAAUCGCAGGUCAGCAUACUGCGGUGAAUACGUUCCCGGGCCUUGUACACACCGCCCGUCACACCACGAAAGCUGACAACACCCGAAGCCGGUGAGCUAACCCAGCACUCAACCUGGUAUUUGAUAAGUAAGAAUAUUCAAGAUGGUUUUAUCAUUGGAUAGGAAGGUAAACUAUUAAGUAUCAGGA
rnacentral:rRNA from 1 species